AUGAAUAAUCAAGGAAUUCCAGUUAAUCCUAUCAGAGUAAAUCUUGGUGAUGCAGUUGAGCUACAACAGUCGAGAGUAGCUGGUGGGGAAAAUCGGGGUCUAGCUGAAAAUCAAUUGGGAGAUGCAGUGAGGGUGCACGGUCCACCAGGCCCACAACUGCAUGACAACUACAGGGGCAACGUCAAUAUUGCUGACUCUGAUGGACCUCUAGUCUUACCCCCUUUGCCUCCGGGGCACACAUUUGUGGUAACCAGUAGCUUAAUGCAGAUGCUUACAGUGAGGGGCUUGUUCUUAUGGUUGCUAUCGGAGGACCCACAUGCUCACAUAGCAAAGAUAAGGGUGGUCUGCAAGAGCUGUGUAGGUCGACCAGACUUGGAUAUGGAUGUCAUCGGAUUGAGAGUGUUCCCUCUAUCACUGACAGGCGAUGUUGCUAUAUGGUUCACUGGGCUUCCUUAUAACUCAAUCUAUACAUGGAACCAACUGAGGGAUAUGUUCUUAGCAAGGUAUUAUCCAGUGUCCAAGAAGCUCAAUCACAAAGAUAAGGUCAAUAAUUUUGUGCCAUUACCUGGAGAGUCUGUGAGUAGCUCAGGGGACUUAUUCACUUCGUUCAUAAGAGGUGUUUCGGAUCACCGUAUUGAUGAUGAGUUGCUGAAGGAACAUUUCUAUCGAGGUCAGGAUGAUAACAAUAAAACAUCUGCGGAUGAGAUUCGUGAAGAGAUGGUUCAGAUGAGGACCGAGUUGGGGUUUGUAUUGAAGCAUGUCAGCGGAGGUGCAGAAAAUCAGCUUUCCAUCAACGUUCCGUUGAUAGAAGCUUUAGAGAAGAUGCCUGGGUAUGCAAAGUUUAUGAAAGAUAUGGUAGCAAAGAAGAGGUCUGUAAGUUUUGAAGAUGAUGAUAAAUUGCAUCAUUGUAGGGCUAUUGCUACAAGGUCUCUUGUGCAAAAGAAAGGGGAUCCUGGUUCCUUCACAAUUCCAUCUCUUAAUUGGAAAUGGGAAGAUGCAAAAGAUGUGAAGGGAAGUUCUCCCCAAGAAUGUGCUCCUAAACCUGAAGUUUCUGUUCCGAAGGAGGAUCACUCACAUAGGGCAACUCCAACUAGGCAACAUAUGAAUGAAACAGCAAACUCUGAAAUUCAGGAGCCCUACCAUUAAAUCUGAUGGAGCAGGUGACAUUUCUAAAAACAGGAAGUGUUCAAUCAGCUGUGCCAACAGUUCAGCAGGAAGCCUCACCUAAACUGGUAGAGGAUCUGAAAUCGUUAGAGCCUCCAACAGCUCUCUCAGAAGCCAGUUCAUCGUCUAUAUUGGAUGCAAAAGCAAGUGAUUCAUUGCAGCAAUCAUCUGAUGGUGGUUGCGGUGGUGGUCUUUUGAAUCAACUGAAUCAUACUACUGAUGGACCAACAGAAGAGCAUGAUGCUUCACCUUUAUUAACCAUGAAUUCAAACCCUGCAUCCCUAAAAGAGGAAAACCAAAAAGAAUCUUCUGACCACAUACAAUCUGAUCCUUUAAAAGGAGAAAAAAAUAACGUCUCACUACUUCAACAAGAUUAUUCUCCAAGUAUUUCUCAUGUUUCUGCUGAAACAACUUCUUCAUCCACUCAAGAACAAAAACACAAAUAUAAUAUUCAUGUAGAGGUACCUAACACUGUUCAGUCCCUAACCAAGGCUUCCUGUCUCACAGUUAAGAUUCCAGAACCCAGUGCCAAUUCUAAGCACCCUAAUAACUCUGUUAUUAACAGAGUUAAAAUUGACACAGCAGCACCAAUUGAAUCUGUGAAGCAGGCAGUUUCCAAGUUUGGAGGCAUUGUUGACUGGAAGGCUCAUCGAGUACAGACUGUGGAGAGAAGGAAAGUUGUCGAUCAAGAAUUAGCGAAUGUGCAGGAAGAGAUCCCAUUUGUACAAGAAACAGUCUCAGGCUGCAGAAGGAGCAAAAAUGAUGGUGUUGAAGGAACUAGAUAGCACUAAAAGACUGAUAGAAGAGUUGAAGCUGAACCUGGAGAGAGCACAAACCGAAGAACAACAAGCGAAACAGGACUCAGAACUUGCCAAACUCAGGGUAGAAGAGAUGGAGCAGGGAAUUGCUGAUGAGGCUAGUAUUGCAGCCAAGGCGCAGCUUGAAGUUGCUAAAGCAAGGCAUGAAGCAGCAGUUUUGGAGCUAAACACUGUGGAUUAUGAGUUGAAAAGAUCUGCAUAAAGAGUAUGAUUUAUUGGUGUCAGAGAGAUAUGAUGCUGUGCAAAAAGCAGAGGAAGCGGUUUCUGCCUCAAAGAAAGUUGAGAAAGAAGUGGGAGUAUUUGACUAUUGAGCUCAUCACUACAAAGGAAUCUUUAGAAGCUGCACAAACUGCACAUUUGGAGGUGGAGGAACACAGAAUUGGAGCUGCUAUGGCAAGAGAGCAAGAUACUCUAACAUGGGAGAAAGAACUAAAGCAGGCAGAAGAUGAGCUUGAGAAGCUAAACCAGCAAAUACUGUCUUCGAAGGAUCUCAAAGCAAAAUUAUACACUGCUUCAGCUUUGCUACUGGAUCUCAAAGCUGAGUUUGCUGCUUACAUGGAAUCAAAGUUGAAACAAGAGACUGUUGAAGAUGGCAAUUUUGGCGAACUGUCAGAGCCAGAGAAAAGAACUCAUGCCAAGAUACAAGCAGCGGUUGCCUUGGCUACACGGGAACUUGAAGAGGUGAAACUCAACAUCGAGAAAGCAACAGAUGAUGUAAAUUGCUUGAAGGUUGCUGCAACUUCAUUGAAGGCAGAAUUAGAUAAAGAAAAAUCAGAACUAGCUUCCAUCCAGCAGAGAGAAGGCAUGGCAUCAAUUGCUGUAGCAUCUCUUGAGACGGAGUUGAACAGGACCAAGUCAGAGAUUGCCCUUGUGCAGAUGAAAGAGAAAGAAGCAAGAGAAAAGGUUGUGGAGCUUCCCAAGAAAUUGCAAGAGGCUGCCCAAGAGGCUGAUCUGGCAAAGUCACUUGCACAAACAGCUCGUGAAGAGUUGAGAAAGGCAAAGGAAGAAGCAGAGCAAGCAAAGGCAGGAGCAAGUACCAUGGAAAGUAGACUAAUUGCUGCUAAUAAGGAGAUAGAAGCUGCAAAAGCUUCUGAGAAGUUGGCGCUAGAAGCCAUCAAUGCUCUGCAAGAGAGUGAAUUAGCUCGAAGCACCAAUGAUGAAGAUUCCCCAUCUGGAGUAACACUUUCUCUUGAAGAAUAUUAUGAUCUCAGCAAGCUGGCCCAUGAGGCGGAGGAGCAAGCUAAUAAGAGGGUGGCUGCUGCUAUCACCCAAAUUGAAGUAUUCAAGGAAUCAGAACUGAGAAGUCUAAGCAGGCUGGAGGAGGUUAAUCAUGAGAUGACCACUAGAAAGGAAGGUCUGGAAAUUGCAAUGAAGAAGGCAGAGAAAGCCAAGGAAGGGAAAUUGGCAGUGGAGCAAGAGCUGAGGAAAUGGAGGGCUGAGCAUGGGCAAAGGCGGAAAGCUGGUGAAUCUCUUCCACUGAUAAACACUACCAGAAGCCCGAGAACGAGCUUUGAGGAGAGUAAAGCAUCGAAAACCUAUGAGAGUGCACCAGAGGUUGCUUCACUACAUCAUAGGUCAAGUCCAAGAGCAUAUGAGCAAGGAAGUAAUACUGAAACUGAUACAUCUCCAGAAGUGAAGAUCCCAAAGAAAAAGAAAAGGUCCUUCUUCCCAAGGCUCUUGAUGCUUCUGGGAAGAAAGAAAUCACAGGCCAAGACAGCAUGAUGUGCUUUGGGGUUUUAGGAGAAUCUCCCUCAUGUUAUACAACUGUCCCUUUAUUUUUCUGGUUAUUUUUCUUGGUUGACGGAGUGUAAAUUCUCACUGCUUUUUCUGUAUACAUCUCGCAUCAUGUAUAGUACAAUAUCAAAAUACUUCUCUCACCUUUUGGAGGGCUGUUUAUAGAACAGAGUAAGAUUGUUAUAGGUUUGGCCGAGUCAAUAAAGUGAUUCUGUAAGUAAAUCAUCUGCUGCUUCAACUGUUAUAUCCUGCUAGUUCUCAGAUUCUGAAAUAUUGGGUUUCUUGGCAGUAUGGGUUGUAUAAUUCUAGUAUUUUCUAAUUUUU